UACGUAGGGUGCAAGCGUUGUCCGGAAUUAUUGGGCGUAAAGAGCUCGUAGGCGGUUUGUCGCGUCUGCUGUGAAAACCCGAGGCUCAACCUCGGGCCUGCAGUGGGUACGGGCAGACUAGAGUGCGGUAGGGGAGAUUGGAAUUCCUGGUGUAGCGGUGAAAUGCGCAGAUAUCAGGAGGAACACCGAUGGCGAAGGCAGGUCUCUGGGCAUUAACUGACGCUGAGGCGCGAAAGCUAGGGGAGCAAACGGG
rnacentral:rRNA from 1 species